GGGUGUGACUGCGUACCUUUUGUAUAAUGGGUCAGCGACUUAUAUUCUGUAGCAAGGUUAACCGAAUAGGGGAGCCGGAGGGAAACCGAGUCUUAACCGGGCGUUAAGUUGCAGGGUAUAGACCCGAAACCCGGUGAUCUAGCCAUGGGCAGGUUGAAGGUUGGGUAACACUAACUGGAGGACCGAACCGACUAAUGUUGAAAAAUUAGCGGAUGACCUGUGGCUGGGGGUGAAAGGCCAAUCAAACCGGGAGAUAGCUGGUUCUCCCCGAAAGCUAUUUAGGUAGCGCCUCGUGAAUUCAUCUCCGGGGGUAGAGCACUGUUUCGGCUAGGGGGCCAUCCCGGCUUACCAACCCGAUGCAAACUGCGAAUACCGGAGAAUGUUAUCACGGGAGACACACGGCGGGUGCUAACGUCCGUCGUGAAGAGGGAAACAACCCAGACCGCCAGCUAAGGUCCCAAAGUCAUGGUUAAGUGGGAAACGAUGUGGGAAGGCCCAGACAGCCAGGAUGUUGGCUUAGAAGCAGCCAUCAUUUAAAGAAAGCGUAAUAGCUCACUGGUCGAGUCGGCCUGCGCGGAAGAUGUAACGGGGCUAAACCAUGCACCGAAGCUGCGGCAGCGACACUGUGUGUUGUUGGGUAGGG
rnacentral:rRNA from 1 species